UUUGGCGGCCAAAGCGGCGGGGAACCACCCGGACCCACACCGAACCCGGAAGUUAAGCCCGCCCACGUACCAGGGAGUACUCGGGUACGCGAGUCCCCGGAAAACCUGGAACGCCGCCAAAC
rnacentral:rRNA from 1 species